GAUGAUGACUACUGGUGGCUUAUGAGUCAUAUACAAUGAAUAUGUGUCUGGAACUCUGAGGUCCAACACAAAAGAAAUCAAAUCUAGUCCAUUCCCAUUGUUUGAAAGGAUUCUGUAGACAGAUGUCAGGAAUAUAUUAAGAUCUUGUUUUUGGUUUUUCUGUUCAUGCAUUUUCUGUGUAUUUUUAUAAUCGGAUCAAUGAAAUAAUAAAUGAAAUAAAGAUGAAGGCAGCAAAAUGUUCUCCAAUUAUAAAAAUAUGUGGUUAGUCAAAGAACAGUAUUGAUGUAUAUUUAAAACACUGACAUAGGUAGGGGAAUAUAUGGCAGUAGGGUGUUUUCUUUGACUAAGAAUGAUAUAGUUAUUGAUAAGUAAUAGUAAACGUUCAUUUCUCUAUCAGUGGCUAGAACAGUAUUAUUCAUUUAUCUACUUAGAGAAAAUAAAAUAUAUGUUAUUGCAAUUCACUGCUUAAUAAUGAUGGACUGAAUUAAAGGUGGAAUGCAAAGACCAAUGAACAUAAUCUCAAUCUUUUCUUAUCACUGCUUUGUUCUGACCUCCAGAGAAUGGUUGCAUUCGAGCUGAUUUAAGCAUUCCACCAUGCUCACGAGCUCCAUGAUUGCCUCUAUAUAUAAAAGGAGGACAGAGAUUAAUAAUGGACAAAUUUGAGCUCUCUGGUUGCUUCUAUAUUGUAGGAGCAUGGAGACCAAUAACAAAUGCCCGAGCUAGCUAAUACCAUCUUCUGUUGUGAUCAAGAUUGUCAUGUACCCUUUCUAUUAGGAAAGAGAGCAAGAAUGGACACACUUGAACUGCUGAAGCAUUUUCCCAUGAUGGUGUGCCCUGUGAUUACAUCUUUGUGUUAGGAGCAUGGAAACCAAUGGAAAAGAAAAAAGCCCAAUUAAUGGUUGCCCUAACUGCUGAAACAAGGAUCAAAGGAGAAAUGCCUCAACUAUUUUUAUCCUCUGCCCUGCUUUAUACUCCUCAGAAUGGACAAAUUUGACCUGUUUUAAGGAUUCUUCUUUGAUCAAGGGUCCUGGGAUUGCAUCUCUCUUUUAGGCGCCAGGAGAUCAAUAACGAAUGUACUCAAGCUGCUUUAGCAUCUUCCAUGGCCAUGAGCUUUCUGGUGGAUGGAG